GACGAACGCUGGCGGCGCGCCUAACACAUGCAAGUCGAACGAGCGAGAGAGAGCUUGCUUUCUCAAGCGAGUGGCGAACGGGUGAGUAACGCGUGAGGAACCUGCCUCAAAGAGGGGAACAACAGUUGGAAACGACUGCUAAUACCGCAUAAGCCCACGGGUCGGCAUCGACCAGAGGGAAAAGGAGCAAUCCGCUUUGAGAUGGCCUCGCGUCCGAUUAGCUAGUUGGUGAGGUAACGGCCCACCAAGGCAACGAUCGGUAGCCGGACUGAGAGGUUGAACGGCCACAUUGGGACUGAGACACGGCCCAGACUCCUACGGGAGGCAGCAGUGGGGAAUAUUGCACAAUGGGGGAAACCCUGAUGCAGCGACGCCGCGUGGAGGAAGAAGGUCUUCGGAUUGUAAACUCCUGUUGUUGAGGAAGAUAAUGACGGUACUCAACAAGGAAGUGACGGCUA
rnacentral:rRNA from 1 species